GGGGAUUAGCUCAGUUGGGAGAGCACCUGCCUUACAAGCAGGGGGUCACUGGUUCGAGCCCGGUAUCGCCCACCA
rnacentral:tRNA from 1 species